GUUCUUCUGAAAACGGUUGUCUGUAGGCAC
rnacentral:misc_RNA from 1 species